rnacentral:rRNA from 1 species
UAAUACGUAGGGGGCGAGCGUUGUCCGGAUUCAUUGGGCGUAAAGAGCUCGUAGGCGGCUUGAUAAGUCGGGUGUGAAACCUCCAGGCUCAACCUGGAGCUGCCACCCGAUACUGUUAUGGCUUGAGUCCGGUAGGGGACCACGGAAUUCCUGGUGUAGCGGUGAAAUGCGCAGAUAUCAGGAGGAACACCGGUGGCGAAGGCGGUGGUCUGGGCCGGCACUGACGCUGAGGAGCGAAAGCGUGGGUAGCAAACAGGAUUAGAUACCCUGGUAGUCCACGCCGUAAACGUUGGGCACUAGGUGUGGGGACCUAUCGACGGUUUCCGUGCCGUAGCUAACGCACUAAGUGCCCCGCCUGGGGAGUACGGCCGCAAGGCUAAAACUCAAAGGAAUUGACGG